UACGUAGGGUGCAAGCGUUGUCCGGAAUUAUUGGGCGUAAAGAGCUCGUAGGCGGUUUUGUAAGCCAGAUGUGAAAUCCCCGGGCUUAACCUGGGAAUGGCAUUUGGGACUGCAAGGCUGGAGUGUGGCAGAGGAGACUGGAAUUCCCGGUGUAGCAGUGAAAUGCGUAGAUAUCGGGAGGAAUACCGAUGGCGAAGGCGGCUUCCUGGACCUGUUCUGACGCUGAGGAGCGAAAGCGUGGGGAGCGAACAGG
rnacentral:rRNA from 1 species